rnacentral:rRNA from 1 species
GCAUAUCAAUAAGCGGAGGAAAAGAAACUAACAAGGAUUCCCCUAGUAACUGCGAAGUGAAGCGGGAAAGCUCCAAAUUUAAAAUCUGGCGGUCUAUGGCUGUCCGAGUUGUAAUCUAGAGAAGUAAUGCCCGCGCUGGACCGUGUACAAGUCUCCUGGAAUGGAGCGUCAUAGAGGGUGAGAAUCCCGUCUUUGACACGGACUACCAGGGCUUUGUGGUAUGCUCUCAAAGAGUCGAGUUGUUUGGGAAUGCAGCUCUAAAUGGGUGGUAAAUUCCAUCUAAAGCUAAAUAUUGGCGAGAGACCGAUAGCGAACAAGUACCGUGAGGGAAAGAUGAAAAGAACUUUGGAAAGAGAGUUAAACAGUACGUGAAAUUGCUGAAAGGGAAACGCUUGAAGUCAGUCGCGUUGACUAGAACUCAGCUUCACUUUUGUGGGGUGUACUUUUUAGUUGACGGGUCAGCAUCAAUUCUGACUGCUGGAAAAAGGCUUAGGGAAUGUGGCAGCUCCGGCUGUGUUAUAGCCCUUUGUCACAUACAGCUGUUGGGAUUGAGGAACUCAGCACGCCGCAAGGCCGGGUUUCGACCACGUUCGUGCUUAGGAUGCUGGCAUAAUGGCUUUAAGCGACCCGUCUUGAAACACGGACCAAGGAGUCUAACAUGCCUGCGAGUGUUUGGGUGGUAAACCCGAGCGCGUAAUGAAAGUGAAAGUUGAGAUCCCUGUCGUGGGGAGCAUCGACGCCCGGACCUGACCUUUUGUGACGGAUCCGCGGUAGAGCAUGUAUGUUGGGACCCGAAAGAUGGUGAACUAUGCCUGAAUAGGGUGAAGCCAGAGGAAACUCUGGUGGAGGCUCGUAGCGAUUCUGACGUGCAAAUCGAUCGUCAAAUUUGGGUAUAGGGGGCGAAAGACUAAUCGAACCAUCUAGUAGCUGGUUCCUGCCGAAAG